AGCGAACGCUGGCGGCAGGCCUAACACAUGCAAGUCGAACGAACUCUUCGGAGUUAGUGGCGGACGGGUGAGUAACACGUGGGAACGUGCCCUUUGGUUCGGAAUAACUCAGGGAAACUUGUGCUAAUACCGAAUGUGCCCUUCGGGGGAAAGAUUUAUCGCCAUUAGAGCGGCCCGCGUCUGAUUAGCUAGUUGGUGAGGCAACGGCUCACCAAGGCGACGAUCAGUAGCUGGUCUGAGAGGAUGACCAGCCACACUGGGACUGAGACACGGCCCAGACUCCUACGGGAGGCAGCAGUGGGGAAUCUUGCGCAAUGGGCGAAAGCCUGACGCAGCCAUGCCGCGUGAAUGAUGAAGGUCUUAGGAGAGUAAAAUUCUUUCUCCGGGGACGAUAAUGACGGUACCCGGAGAAGAAGCCCCGGCUAACUUCGUG
rnacentral:rRNA from 1 species